rnacentral:rRNA from 1 species
AUUGAACGCUGGCGGCAUGCUUUACACAUGCGAGUCGAACGGUAACAGGCCGCAAGGUGCUGACGAGUGGCGAACGGGUGAGUAAUGCAUCGGAACGUGCCCAGUCGUGGGGGAUAACUACUCGAAAGAGUAGCUAAUACCGCAUACGAUCUAUGGAUGAAAGCGGGGGACCGUAAGGCCUCGCGCGAUUGGAGCGGCCGAUGUCAGAUUAGGUAGUUGGCGGGGUAAAGGCUCACCAAGCCAACGAUCUGUAGCUGGUCUGAGAGGACGACCAGCCACACUGGGACUGAGACACGGCCCAGACUCCUACGGGAGGCAGCAGUGGGGAAUUUUGGACAAUGGGCGCAAGCCUGAUCCAGCAAUGCCGCGUGCAGGAAGAAGGCCUUCGGGUUGUAAACUGCUUUUGUACGGAACGAAACGGCUCUGGUUAAUACCCGGGGCUAAUGACGGUACCGUAAGAAUAAGCACCGGCUAACUACGUG